GGUAGCUCAGUGGUAGGGCGCUUGCCUUGCAUCCAUGAGGCCCUGAGUUCGAUUCCUCAGUACCA
rnacentral:tRNA from 1 species